GGUGAACGCUGGCGGCGUGCCUAAUACAUGCAAGUCGAGCGAACGGACGAGAAGCUUGCUUCUCUGAUGUUAGCGGCGGACGGGUGAGUAACACGUGGAUAACCUACCUAUAAGACUGGGAUAACUUCGGGAAACCGGAGCUAAUACCGGAUAAUAUUUUGAACCGCAUGGUUCAAAAGUGAAAGACGGUCUUGCUGUCACUUAUAGAUGGAUCCGCGCUGCAUUAGCUAGUUGGUAAGGUAACGGCUUACCAAGGCAACGAUGCAUAGCCGACCUGAGAGGGUGAUCGGCCACACUGGAACUGAGACACGGUCCAGACUCCUACGGGAGGCAGCAGUAGGGAAUCUUCCGCAAUGGGCGAAAGCCUGACGGAGCAACGCCGCGUGAGUGAUGAAGGUCUUCGGAUCGUAAAACUCUGUUAUUAGGGAAGAACAUAUGUGUAAGUAACUGUGCACAUCUUGACGGUACCUAAUCAGAAGGCCACGGCUAACUACGUG
rnacentral:rRNA from 1 species